rnacentral:lncRNA from 1 species
UCAAACUGGGGAUAAAGCAAGAAUUCCAAAGGAAGACACAUCCAUUGGAAAGACACAAGCUGACUCAAACUAUCCACGAAGGAUACUUCGGAUGAAAAUCCGGACUCGGACCAAGGAAAGAUUCACAAAGAAUCUCCUUGUCGGGGGAAAAUUUGCAUAUAUUGGGGAAAACGCCAAUAUAGCAAAGGGCAAAAAUCAUAACGGGAAUCCACU